GAUGAAGAACGCAGCGAAAUGCGAUAAGUAAUGUGAAUUGCAGAAUUCAGUGAAUCAUCGAAUCUUUGAACGCAUCUUGCGCUCCUUGGUAUUCUGAGGAGCAUGCCUGUUUGAGUGUCAUUAAAUUCUCAACCGCACUGACUUUGAAUUGGUGUGGCUUGGAUUUGGGGGGAAAAUUGUUGUGGGCUUUUUUGUAUAGUCUGCUCCCCUGAAAUUGAUUAGCGGUACCUGUGUGGAACUGUCUACAGGUGUGAUAAUUAUCUACAUCCUAGACAUCUGCUGGAAUGCUGCUUUCUAAACCUUACUUGUAUUGACAAUCUUGACCUCAAAUCAGGUAGGACUACCCGCUGAACUUAAGCAUAUCAAUAAGCGGAGGA
rnacentral:misc_RNA from 1 species